UUUAUGCCCAAUCGAUCUGAAGAUGCAACUUGGAGAUGGAAACACCUAUGUCUUCUGCGAGACAAAACUUCUCCAGCUUUGAAGCUUGCGCUUGGCUUUAUUGCUCCUCACUAUGAAGACUUGGAGUGAUUUCGAAGGAGUACCCACUACUUAGGAGCUUGGAGCUUGUUUCUUCACCUUGGGGGUUCAAUUUGGCUGUCGCUUUUUAUCGAACAGGUUUCUGUCAAAGCUUUGUGGCACUGCUGGAACUUUAGAGCAAAGCCCCUGCUGUUAGGAUUUUACGAACCAAUGACCGUCACCCAAAAUUUGAGGGCAAAAAUGGUGCCUGGAGGUAUCGCCGGAGCUCGAUGAAGAUACAGCACCCUAAGGUAUGCUGUGUCGGAGCUUAAGGAUGAUACAGCACCCUAAGGCACGCCGUGUCGGAGCUUAAGGAUGAUACGACACCCUAAGGCACUCCGUGUAGGAGCUUAAGGAUGAUCCGGCACCCUAAGGCACACCGUGUCGGAGCUUGAGGAUGAUACGGCACCCUAAGGCACUCUGUGUCAGAGCUUGAGGAUGAUACGGCACCCUAUGGCACGCCGUGCUAGAGCUCGACAACAAUAUCAGCACCCUAAGGCACGCCAUGUCAGAGCAUAUAUGACAUUGAUACCCUACGAUAUCGCUGGAGGCCGGCAUCACUUGAGAACAGCAAAGGAAAAGGUGCAUAUCGGUGAAAGUCUCACCCUCUUCUUUCUUGCUUUCUUCCUCUCCUCGGUUGCUGUCCUCUGCUUCUUCACAAUCCUCCUCA